rnacentral:lncRNA from 13 species
CUGGUCCGUCAGGAUAUAACUUCAACUCCAAAACCUGACCGCUUCUCAGUGGCCCAGCCACCAUCAUGGCCCAGGGACAUCACCUGCUGCUAAGAUUAUUACAGUGGCCUCCUCACCGUUGUCUCUGUCUCCCCCGCUCUGGGCCCUGUGGUUUGUUCUCAGUACAGGAGCCAUCAGGCCCAGAAGAGCAAGGAUCUUCUCACCAUGACCAGACCAUUGCUUCUUCCUCUGCCAUGUGUUGAUGGCCUUGGAAGUAAGAGAUGAUGAGGGCGGAUGGUACUUCCUUCCAUCAGGUACUUGCGAAGCACUUCCGGCUUGGACACCCACCAGCAGCAUAUGAACACGCUCAUUUCCCCACACUGAGAGAAACAUCUGAUACCAAACAACUUAAAAAUUUUGUCCAUCUGAAAAAGGAUUUUUGCAACUAAAGUACCAAAGAAGUGAAGAUGCUAAGGAAUUCUUUGGCUUUACAAGAUGAAUGCCAUACGAAAUGAGGCCGUCUGACAACCAGAUUCCAUAUGGCAGUCAGAAAGUUCCAGCACAGUACCUCAGGCUUCAUCUAGGGAACACAUUUAAAGACCUGUCAAGGUCUCAUCGGAGGAGCUGCUGGGGAAGUGGACCAGGAUCACAGCUGCCCAUUCUCUCACCCCACCUACCUUCUGCAGAGUGGCCCAUUUGUGCUUCAGGAGGAAGAGUACAGGAGCAGUGGUCAGCAUGCUGUGAACAUUACUUUCUGAGUGUGGGUGUGUCUCAAUAA